GGAAAAGGCCUUUCAGGCAUCCUCUCCUAAAAACUUUCAGGGCUGGUCUUCGGACCGGCCCUUUUUUUCCGCCAUU
rnacentral:sRNA from 1 species